GAUCGCUGUGAUGCGGGCGGUUCGCCGCCCGUGACUCUGCGAGAAGUCCAUUGAACCUUAUCAUUUAGAGGAAGGAGAAGUCGUAACAAGGUUUCCGUAGGUGAACCUGCGGAAGGAUCAUUGUCGAGACUGAAACACGAGCGAUUUUGAGAACCCGUAAAAAUAAGCGGCGGCUCUUGCUGCUGAGACAAAAUCCAGCCCGAUCAACGCCUCUUCCCCUUUUUGGGGUGGGGACGCGAUCAAGGAUGGAUGGACCCUCAAAUCGGCGCAGCGUCGCGCCAAGGCAAUAUCAAAACACAAGCCUUAAAAUGGGUUUCGUGGGAUGGGGUGCUGUGCACGCCAUAUCGAUUGACACGACUCUCGGCAAUGGAUAUCUCGGCUCUCGCAUCGAUGAAGAGCGCAGCGAAAUGCGAUACGUGGUGCGAAUUGCAGAAUCCCGCGAACCAUCGAGUCUUUGAACGCAAGUUGCGCCCGAGGCCAACCGGCCAAGGGCACGCCUGCCUGGGUGUCAAGCAUUUUGUCGCUCCGUGUCUAGUCUCCCAUCGUUGGAUGUGCUGGCGAAGGCUCGGAUGUGCACGGUGGCCCGUCGUGCCCCUCGGUGCGGCGGGCUGAAGGGUCGAUUGUCUUCUCGUUGGCUGCGGACAAUAGAGGGUGGAUUAAAAUGAAGGCCUAUGCUAUUGUGUCGAGCAUGCUGGAGAGAUGAUUGUACAUAUUUAGGCGAUCCCAAUUCAUGCGUCAAUCCAUGGAUGGCGUUUGGAAUGCGACCCCAGGAUGGGCGAGGCCACCCGCCGAGUUUAAGCAUAUCAAUAAGCGGAGGAGAAGAAACUUACGAGGAUUCCCCUA
rnacentral:rRNA from 1 species